GUUCAGUCUGCAUAUUGUGCCUUCUUGUUCCCUUCAGAAGGCAUUUCUUACAACAAUGACAUGACUGGUUUUCUUUCUGGAAGCAGUUUGAUGCAGAGCAUAGACCUGUUGCAACAGCUCCAUGCUGGGUGUACCAUCAUCCUUGCUGUCCUGCUGUUCCACUUGCAAAAACUCAUUCCUGUUAUGCUGGGGCACCUGGGAAGGUGGUGCAGUCACAGAGGAGAUGCAGCUGCUGCACAGGGCAGGAAUUGGUCACCCUUGCCCCCUAUCCUUUGUCACAGUGUUGAGCCAGGUGGAGAGAAGACAGGGAAUCCCCUGUAUCAUGUGUCCUGUCUCCCUGUCAGGCCUGUCCCAGGGAAGGCAGGAUGUGAUUCCAGUAGUCUCUCUCUCUCUCACUGUCUCUGAUACUCCUCAACCUCCUCACCUCCUCCCAUAGCUCUGUCACUAACUGAAGGAAUUCCUCUACCUAGGUGCAUCUAAACUGAUUGAACUGAACUCUUUCAUGGGUGAAAGCUGCAGGUGAGCUCUGGAGCACAGCUGGAAACAAACCAGAGCUUGCCUUGCCCAUCAGGGCAUAGUUAAGAAUAGCUUAUAGCUGCCGUGAUGUCAUGGGAGACAAGAAGGGCAGGAAGUCUUUCUUUCCCUGAGGAUGAAGAGGAUGCCUCAACUCAACCUUCUUGCUGUGAACUGUUGUGAGCAUGGCAUUAGACAUCACACGAAGAAACAUAUGAGGACAGUUCCAGAGCAUGAAGGCUGUCUCAGCUGCAUCCUUGCCAACCUCCUAGUGAGUUAGGGACAUCUCCUGAGGAAAGGAAGGGUGAGGUCAUUAGGCUUUGUGCAAAAGAGCCUCUGUGUUGGGAACAUCUGAGCUGCCAAGGCACCUGGAGUGGUAUCUCUAGUUUGACAGCAUGCAGGAUUUGUGUUUUCUUCUAAGAAGAAAAUUAACUCUAUCCCAGCCAAAACCAGGACAGUAAUGUUUCAUUCCUUCCUGACCCCAAACCUGGUGGUCAUAAAGAAGACAACACUCACAAGGAACUGUGCAAGGUCUUCAACUUUCCAUUUGAAAUCUGGAAAAGAAAUUCAAGGAGUCCUCCAUCAUGAUAAAGGAAAAAUAAAACCCCGAAACUAAAACCAAA